rnacentral:rRNA from 1 species
UGGGGAAUUUUGGACAAUGGGCGAAAGCCUGAUCCAGCAAUGCCGCGUGUGUGAAGAAGGCCUUCGGGUUGUAAAGCACUUUUGUCCGGAAAGAAAUCCUUGGCUCUAAUACAGUCGGGGGAUGACGGUACCGGAAGAAUAAGCACCGGCUAACUACGUGCCAGCAGCCGCGGUAAUACGUAGGGUGCAAGCGUUAAUCGGAAUUACUGGGCGUAAAGCGUGCGCAGGCGGUUUGCUAAGACCGAUGUGAAAUCCCCGGGCUCAACCUGGGAGCUGCAUUGGUGACUGGCAGGCUAGAGUAUGGCAGAGGGGGGUAGAAUUCCACGUGUAGCAGUGAAAUGCGUAGAGAUGUGGAGGAAUACCGAUGGCGAAGGCAGCCCCCUGGGCCAAUACUGACGCUCAUGCACGAAAGCGUGGGGGAGCAAACAGGAUUAGAUACCCCUGGUAGUCCACGCCCUAAACGAUGUCAACUAGUUGUUGGGGAUUCAUUUCCUUAGUAACGUAGCUAACGCGUGAAGUUGACCGCCUGGGGAGUACGGUCGCAAGAUUAAAACUUAAAUGAAUUGACGGGGUCAUAGCUGUUUCCU